CUGAAAGGCCAUCAACAUAGGAUAAAACAUCCCCUUCUCCUUUCUGGAAACCAUUUGGAUCUAUUAAGUGGUGGGGGUGGGCCAUCCGAAUCAGUCCCACCUCCCUGCAGAGGGGAAAGGUCGUGGAGAAGUCCAGUUGCACCAGGAAGUGAUCUGACCAUGACACUUAUUUUGUUUUAGUUUCACUUCGUGUCAGAUCACCCACAUCCAUAGAGGUGAACAUGCCAGGUCAAGUCCUCCAUCCAAGUCGUGGAUGGCAGUGGUCUCAUGAACCAUUGACCUGGCAUUGCGUAGCAGACCCUUAAGGUCACGUGGGUCUCCCUUGCUGAUUCCAGCAUCCAUCCAGUCAAGACCUGACCCGGAGGCAGGGAUGGUCCUCAAACAAUGACAUGGUCUGGUCUUGGUGUAACACUUCCUCCUACCCGUGACCACUGUGAUCGGGUGUCCCAGUGCAUCCCCACCCCCACCCCGGGGAACUUGCCCCUGCCAUUCUGUUGGAUGGGGCCCACUCCCAGACAGCCCUGACCCUCUCGCCUAAGGAACAAAACUAUACAAACUAUAUAAAACUAUAUCAACUAUAC